GACGAACGCUGGCGGCGUGCUUAACACAUGCAAGUCGAACGAGGUCCAAUCGAUCUUCGGAUCGGUGAAGACCUAGUGGCGAACGGGUGCGUAACACGUGAGGAACCUACCCCAGUCUCUGGAAUAACAAGCGGAAACGCUUGCUAAUACCGGAUGCCGUCGGGCCACCGCAUGGAGGACCGACAAAAGAUUCAUCGGAUUGGGAGGGUCUCGCGGCCUAUCAGCUUGUUGGUGAGGUAACGGCUCACCAAGGCAUCGACGGGUAGCUGGUCUGAGAGGAUGAUCAGCCACACUGGGACUGAGACACGGCCCAGACUCCUACGGGAGGCUG
rnacentral:rRNA from 1 species